rnacentral:rRNA from 1 species
UACGUAGGGGGCAAGCGUUAUCCGGAUUUACUGGGUGUAAAGGGAGCGUAGACGGCUUUGCAAGCCAGAUGUGAAAGCCCGGGGCUCAACCCCGGGACUGCAUUUGGAACUGUGUGGCUAGAGUGUCGGAGAGGCAGGCGGAAUUCCUAGUGUAGCGGUGAAAUGCGUAGAUAUUGGGAGGAACACCAGUGGCGAAGGCGGCCUGCUGGACGAUGACUGACGUUGAGGCUCGAAAGCGUGGGGAGCAAACAGG